GUCCUAUGGACUAACUUCUUUACUCACACCCGUCCAUGAUGUGGGAACAGCAGGUUCAAAAUUAAAAUAAUAACUAAAUAAGGAUAAAAUAAAAUGGUCUAUCUCAACACAUCCAAGAAAAAUAAAAUUUAAAACAGAAAUGAAGAAUAGCUGUAUGAAAUGAUUUACAGCUUUAUGCUACCAUACUAUCGCUAAAAUAAUACUUAAAUCUUAACACAUUUCAAUCCAUGUUCUUACUUCAUAAGCAAUUUCACUUGAUAAAACUUAACAUGAAAGGUGAAAAAUUCUGGUAGAAAUUUCCUUUAUGCCUACCAGAAAAGAAAUAUUUCAAAUCAAUGUGAUCACGUUUCUCCGUAGCAUUCAAUUAUAUUAUACAUGGUAGCAGAGAGUAUUAUUAGACUAGUUCAUUGUUGGCAAUGCCAUCUUUUGCAAAUAAGGUUUUAAAAUUCAAAUUUUUACUACACUAAUUCCUGGCUCAACUAGUUUGAAAAUUUCCCACUUAUUACCAAGACACAUUUGGACUAACCAAUUCACGGAUUUCCUGUUCAAAAAGCUUGGAAGCUGCACCAGCACUG
rnacentral:misc_RNA from 1 species